GGGGAAGGAUGAGAAGCUUCGACCAAGGUUCGAUUCGAGCGCAGCGAGAAAGCGUUGCCGCAGGCAACGACCCGAAGGGCGAAGCGCGCAGCGCUGAGUCAUCCUUCCCCCACCACCA
rnacentral:sRNA from 3 species